GAUGAACGCUGGCGGCGUGCCUAAUACAUGCAAGUCGAGCGAACGGACGAGAAGCUUGCUUCUCUGAUGUUAGCGGCGGACGGGUGAGUAACACGUGGAUAACCUACCUAUAAGACUGGGAUAACUUCGGGAAACCGGAGCUAAUACCGGAUAAUAUUUUGAACCGCAUGGUUCAAAAGUGAAAGACGGUCUUGCUGUCACUUAUAGAUGGAUCCGCGCUGCAUUAGCUAGUUGGUAAGGUAACGGCUUACCAAGGCAACGAUGCAUAGCCGACUUGAGAGGGUGGUCGGCCACACUGGAACUGAGACGCGGACCAGACUCCUACGAGAGGCAGCAGUAGGGAAUGUUCCGCAAUGGGCGGAAGCCUGACGGAGCAACGGCGCGUGAGUGAUAGAGGUCUUCGGAUCGUAAAACUCUGUUAUUAGGGAAGAACAUAUGUGUAAGGAACUGUGCACAUCGUGACGGUACCUAAUCAGAAAGCCACGGCUAACUACGUG
rnacentral:rRNA from 1 species